ensembl:snoRNA
UGGAUCGAUGAUGAUUACUGAUGGCGUAUGAGUCAUACGCGGUGAAUGUGUGUUGAACUCUGAGGUCAAG